rnacentral:rRNA from 1 species
UAGGGAAUCUUCGGCAAUGGACGGAAGUCUGACCGAGCAACGCCGCGUGAGUGAAGAAGGUUUUCGGAUCGUAAAGCUCUGUUGUAAGAGAAGAACGAGUGUGAGAGUGGAAAGUUCACACUGUGACGGUAUCUUACCAGAAAGGGACGGCCAACUACGUGCCAGCAGCCGCGGUAAUACGUAGGUCCCGAGCGUUAUCCGGAUUUAUUGGGCGUAAAGCGAGCGCAGGCGGUUAGAUAAGUCUGAAGUUAAAGGCUGUGGCUUAACCAUAGUACGCUUUGGAAACUGUUUAACUUGAGUGCAAGAGGGGAGAGUGGAAUUCCAUGUGUAGCGGUGAAAUGCGUAGAUAUAUGGAGGAACACCGGUGGCGAAAGCGGCUCUCUGGCUUGUAACUGACGCUGAGGCUCGAAAGCGUGGGGAGCAAACAGGAUUAGAUACCCUGGUAGUCCACGCCGUAAACGAUGAGUGCUAGGUGUUAGACCCUUUCCGGGGUUUAGUGCCGUAGCUAACGCAUUAAGCACUCCGCCUGGGGAGUACGACCGCAAGGUUG